ACCCAUGGCGAGGCCAGGUCGGAGUCCGGGGUUGGGCGAGGCCUUGGUCGGAGUCGACUCGUGGCGCUGCCUUUGGUGGGGUUUAAGAAAAUAGAGUUGCGCCUUCACUAACACUGGUCGAUUUUGGUGUAAUGGUAGCGCUUGAUCCUGACAAUUGGUAUCAGAGCCAGAGGUCUCGAGUUCGAAACCCAGGCAACGCGUUGG
rnacentral:lncRNA from 1 species